rnacentral:rRNA from 1 species
CUCCUGGAAAACGGGUGGUAAUGCCGGAUGCUCCGACUCCUCGCAUGGGGUGUCGGGAAAGAUUUCAUCGGUAUGGGAUGGGGUCGCGUCCUAUCAGGUAGUCGGCGGGGUAACGGCCCACCGAGCCUACGACGGGUAGCCGGCCUGAGAGGGCGACCGGCCACAUUGGGACUGAGAUACGGCCCAGACUCCUACGGGAGGCAGCAGUGGGGAAUAUUGCACAAUGGGCGCAAGCCUGAUGCAGCGACGCCGCGUGCGGGAUGACGGCCUUCGGGUUGUAAACCGCUUUUGAUCGGGAGCAAGCCUUCGGGUGAGUGUACCUUUCGAAUAAGCACCGGCUAACUACGUGCCAGCAGCCGCGGUAAUACGUAGGGUGCAAGCGUUAUCCGGAAUUAUUGGGCGUAAAGGGCUCGUAGGCGGUUCGUCGCGUCCGGUGUGAAAGUCCAUCGCUUAACGGUGGAUCUGCGCCGGGUACGGGCGGGCUGGAGUGCGGUAGGGGAGACUGGAAUUCCCGGUGUAACGG